rnacentral:rRNA from 1 species
AUUGAACGCUGGCGGCAUGCCUUACACAUGCAAGUCGAACGGCAGCACGGGUGCUUGCCCCUGGUGGCGAGUGGCGAACGGGUGAGUAAUACAUCGGAACAUGUCCUGUAGUGGGGGAUAGCCCGGCGAAAGCCGGAUUAAUACCGCAUACGAUCUACGGAUGAAAGCGGGGGACCUUCGGGCCUCGCGCUAUAGGGUUGGCCGAUGGCUGAUUAGCUAGUUGGUGGGGUAAAGGCCUACCAAGGCGACGAUCAGUAGCUGGUCUGAGAGGACGACCAGCCAAACGGGGCUUGAGACAGGGCCAAACUUCCUAGGGGAGGCAGCAGGGGGAAAUUUGGGCAAAUGGGCGAAGCCUGAUCCAGCAAUGCCGCGUGUGUGAAGAAGGCCUUCGGGUUGUAAAGCACUUUUGUCCGGAAAGAAAUCCUUGGCCCUAAUACGGUCGGGGGAUGACGGUACCGGAAGAAUAAGCACCGGCUAACUACGUG